rnacentral:rRNA from 1 species
UACGUAGGGCGCAAGCGUUGUCCGGAAUUAUUGGGCGUAAAGAGCUCGUAGGCGGCCUGUUGCAUCCGCUGUGAAAUCCCGGGGCUUAACCCCGGGCGUGCAGUGGAUACGGGCAGGCUGGAGGCAGGCAGGGGAGAACGGAAUUCCCGGUGUAGCGGUGAAAUGCGCAGAUAUCGGGAGGAACACCGGUGGCGAAGGCAGUGUUCUGGGCCAAUACUGACGCUGAGGAGCGAAAGCGUGGGGAGCGAACAGG